GAGGAAGAUCCUGGGGAAAGCAGCAGCUCUCUGUCCUGCCUUGAGGGCACGGGGCUGCUGCUGUCAGAAGUCAGCCGUGUGGAGCACCUGGGCAGCAUAUGUGACCUGACUGCCUUUGCAGUUAUCUGCCAGAGGCUGCAACUCAAGCGCCUACAGGGACCAAGCAGGGGUGCACUUGGAAGAAAAGAAGAGAGAGUGCACCUACACUGGGCACUGUGCCUGGCAUAAAGCGCAUACACAAAUACAAUAAGAAGACAGUCUUUUGCAAACCAGGAGGCUCUCACCUGAUAGCAGAUCUACUGGCACCU